GACGAACGCUGGCGGCGUGCUUAACACAUGCAAGUCGAACGGAGAAUUUUAUUUCGGUGAAAUUCUUAGUGGCGAACGGGUGAGUAACGCGUAGACAACCUACCUCUCAGAUGGGGACAACAUCGCGAAAGCGGUGCUAAUACCGAAUGAUGUAACUUUUCUGCAUGGAAGUGUUACCAAAGGCGGCCUCUAUUUAUAGCUGUCACUGAGAGAUGGGUCUGCGUCUGAUUAGCUAGUUGGCGGGGUAAUGGCCCACCAAGGCGACGAUCAGUAGCCGGUCUGAGAGGAUGAACGGCCACAUUGGGACUGAGACACGGCCCAAACUCCUACGGGAGGCAGCAGUGGGGAAUCUUCCGCAAUGGACGAAAGUCUGACGGAGCAACGCCGCGUGAGUGAAGAAGGUUUUCGGAUCGUAAAGCUCUGUUGUUUGAGACGAACGUGCAAUUUUUGAAUAAGGAAUUGUAAUGACGGUAUUAAACGAGAAAGCCACGGCUAACUACGUGCCAGCCGCCGCGGUAA
rnacentral:rRNA from 1 species